GAAUAGUCCAUGAACGGAAAGUCAUUUUAGGUCGCAGCUUACCUUCGGCAUCCACAGACCUGUCAAUUAGCCCUCUCCCUGUAUUCUGAUUCAUUUCCAGCAGCAGACGUGCCAAAGACUGGCAGGAACUCAGGGAAAUAUAUCCUGAACACAGGUGGUAUGUUGAAUAUGCCUUGGUGCUUUAUUUGAACUAACCAACUGAUAAAUUUAAACAAUAUAGGCAUGAGACGGAGGGGGAAACUAGGAGACAGAACUGGCGAUAACUUUGAGGUUUUCUUUGUCCCUAUGCUGUCAAUAGAUGCAUACGUUGCAUUUUGACACUAACGUAAUUUAGUUAAAAUCCAGGAAUGCGUUCGGCAGCUGCUUUUCCAAGUGUGCACACACAGCUUCUCUCAGGAACCAAGAGUCACUGCCUCCCCUCCUCUCCUUCCCAUCUCAAAGGUGCUGGAAAUAAAUUUGAUGCGGACUCACUGCUACCUCUAGGUCAAGAUGAGACUUCUGUCGUGCAUUAAGCUAAUUUGGAUUGUGAAUGAAUACAAGUCCAGGAAGUCGAUUCUGAGACCCGAUACCCUGCGAGGGGAGUGCAGGAUAAGCAGGAGAAAUUAAUUAGCGCUGCCUUAAGCAGUUUUACCGACGCAGGCGGGACUGUGGUGGAGCACUGGAGAUGCUGCGAGCCCUGAGCUGCCUUCACAGCCUUGUUGGGUGUGCUGCUGGAUCACACUGCAUGAGAAAUGGAAGCAACCUAUCUGUAAAGAGCCUGCAAACCUCAGGACGCUCUGGAAGCCAGUGGAAUAAUUACAGUGGGAUGAGGCUGCAAGUCCCAUUGCUUCCUGAGCUGCAUUCACGGCUGUGUGAAGGGGAGAAAGGAAUACAUUUGAGGUCUUUUCAUGGAAGACACAGAUAUUUUAAUGUUGCGAUACCAUCCAACAGGUCCUUCUGGGUCAAGAUGGCUCCGGGCUGACAGGGUUGUGGGAAGACACGGCCUGGCUCUAGUCUGAUUCUCCAAUCAGAACAUAAGACAGUGAGUGUUAAGCUGUCCUUUCCGCUGCGGAGUGACCUUGGAGGACUCAUUAAUCUCUCUGGCCCCAGUUUCCUCAUCUCUAUGUCACACAAGGAGAGUGAUGAAGCCUGCAUGUUCACUGUGGACUCAGAAGCCACUGGGCUUUGUCAUGUUGCCCUCUGCCCCCACCAUUCCAUAAUAGAGAAAGUGAUUGAGCCCUGGAAGUUAUAUAAUUUAAAUAUCUUGAGAGUAUAAGAGGUGGAAGCAAUUUCUCCCAGCUGGGUGGAGACAACAUCGCUGAUUCCUGAGAGGUGUGGACAUGUGUUCCAGGAAGAGGGAAGACCUUGAGUAAGUGUCUGGAGGUGACAGAACAGUUCGCUCCUAAGCCAGCGAGACCACGAGCCCACCAGGAAGAACGAACAACUCCAGAUGCGCUACCUUAAGAGCUGUAACACUCACCGCCAAGGCCUGCAGCUUCACUCCUGAGCCAGCGAGACCACGAACCCACCAGAAGGAAGAAACUCCGAACACAUCCGAACAUCAGAAGGAACAAACUCCAGACGCGCUACCUUAAGAGCUGUCUCACCGCGAGGGUCCGCAGCUUCAUUCUUGAAGUCAAUGAGACCAAGAACCCACCAAUUCCCAACACAAUAAGAACAAUACAAAUGAAAGGCAGGUCUGGCUUCCCUAGUUUGCUUUUCUGUCUGUCCGUGAGCCCCUGGACAUGGGGUUCAUGCAGCAGCGAUCUCUUCCCCCAUCCUGCUUACUGCCAGAGCAUCUGGCUAUGUUCCCUCUGACCUUUAUAAAAGCAGCUGUAGGAAAUGCUGCAGGCGCCUCAGCAGGAUGAGGGGGAAAUGGCGUCUCCACGCACUCUAGAAAUACGGCCUCAGAGCCCCAAAGUGCAAGCGACUGGAAGACCGCACAUCACCAUCCUAGGAGCCCAGCCUGCACCAUCUUCUGAUGACAUUCAUUUUUCUCAGACCAUUUUCACUUUUGUCUCUAGAGUAAAGUGAGCUGUGAUGCGUACUAUUCUGCCUGUAUUAUUUAAUCAGUUAAUACAUUAAAUAACAUUUGAUACAUUAAAU
rnacentral:lncRNA from 1 species